rnacentral:lncRNA from 1 species
GGCAGCAUCCAGCACCUGCUGAUCGUGCCUGAUCCUGGUGCCGCCUUCCAAGCCUGCGAACGCUUCCUGCCUGACUGUGCCAGCCUCCAGCCCGUGUCCCCCCUGCCCGUGUCCCCCCUGCCCGUGCAACCCACUGCCGUGAGCGACCUGCUGGAACCCCCGGGGUGGGGGGUGGGGGAGGCGUGGUGACGUGAGGAGCCAGGGGGAUGGAGGCACGGGCCUGAGUUGGACUUUAAAUAAAGCUGUAUUCCCCCUAUCCUCCUUCCUGUUCCUCUAGAGCCAGCUGGAGACCUCACGCCCCCGAGGCAAAGGAAAGGGGAAGGGGAAAGGAAAGAGGAAAGGGAAGGGGAAAGGCCGAAAGGGCAGGAAGAAGAACAAGGAGCUGUCCGAGAGGCCGGGCCACCCCCCUGUUGAAGGAGACCAGGUGACCCCUCCCCCGACUGAGGAGACCCAACUGGGAACCGCAGCCCCCAACCCGACCCGUGAAGAUGCCCUGAACCCCUCCCUUGGGACCGUCUCAACUAAUGAGGUUCAGGAUCCUGGAGCAGAAUCAGCACCCGCCAAAGGAGAGGAGUUGAGAGGGGGCGGACAAGAGGAAAAGGGGGCAGCAGCCAACAUCUCCGUGGAUGCUGUGGCCCCUGGUUUCGGUCCAGAGACCCAAAUCCAUAUCUUCCCGGUAAAUAGGGGUGAGGUGUGGUGGGGAGGUAGGAGGAGAUUGCUGGGGGUGGAGGGCGUGAUCGGUAGCACAGGUACCCCUAAUGAUUGGGGUCAUGGGACUGGGCAGUGGAGAGGGGACUGUUCCACUGGAGGGGAGGGGGAUCCAGACAAAUCACGAGGGGUAGUCAGCGGUGGGCUGCGGGCUGUGAAGGCAGGGUCUGAAUCUCAGCCUUUUCCCACCAAUGGGUUGGGUCUCUGUGGAGGUGGUGUCAGGGCUUGGGAGAAGGGGAGUGGGCCUAGGUGGCUUUGACCUCCUCUUUCUUCCCCUGCAGGAUGCUGGAGAGAAGGGGCAGAAGGGGGAGAGAGCAGUGAUUGAGCCAGUGAGUGGAGAAGAAAAGGGGGGGAGAGGGGACGUGGGGGUGGGGCUGGGGGCAGGAUCAGCUCACACUCUGUCUCUCCUGCAGGGUCAAUUCUUCGAGGGACCUCCAGGCCCUCCUGGCCCCAUGGUGAAAAUCAGCACCCUCCCCCAUUCUCUCCUUCCCUUCCCCAACACUGGACCCCCUCAGCUCCCCACUGGCUCUUCCUGAUCUGUUAGCCACUCUUAGUUUGACAAACCUUCCUGGUUCCCAAGGACUGGAGCCACAGUAAACUUGUUGCUGGGGAGGUUGGGCUGGCUUGAGGGUCCGGCGGCAGUGGGGGCAGGGGUGGGAGUAAGGGGGAUGAUGAUGAGGGAGGCAAACACGGUGUCUCCAUCCCCUUUCCUCUUGUAUCUGCUUCUCUGACUGUCUCUACUUCUCUCUCUUUCCCCCAGGGUGUGGAAGGCCCCACCGGACCCCCUGGCCCUCCGGGUUUUCCUGGCGACCCUGGUGACAGAGUAAAACCUGUUCUCUUCUGGUCUUGAGGGUGGAGGGAGAGAGACGGGAAGGGGCAAAGAAAGGAGAAAAAGAGUUGAGGGAAUGGAGUGAGGCCUGGGGAGAGGCAUGUUAUCUUGGAGUGGGAACAGGGAGAUGGGUCAGAUGCUGCCUGAUGUCUCUGAGUCUCUCUCUGUCUCUGUGGGUCUGUCUCUUUAUGUUUCUGCCCUACCUCUGUGGUCCCUAUCUCUCUGUGCAUCUCUUUUAUCUCUCUGACUCGCUGUGGCUCUGUCUCUCCCUACUUCUCUUCUGUUUCUCUGUCUCUGAGUCUCUUUGAGUGUCUUUGUGUGUCUGGGUGUCUCAAUGUUUCCCUGAAUCUAUCUUUGCCUCUCUUUCCAUAUUGGCAUUUCUCUUCAUCCUUAUGCAUUUCUGCCUCUCUAUUCCUCUCCCUGUGCUUCUCUGUGUGUCACUGUUGCUCUCUGUGUGUCUGUCCGUCCAUCUGUCUGUCUCUGUUCCCAGGGCCCGGUUGGGCGCCUGGGUCUCCCAGGGACGGAUGGUGUCCGUGGUCUUCCUGGGAAUGUGAUCCUCAUGCCUGUGAGUGUUUCUCAAAUUUGGAUGGCCUGGGAAAGGGGUAGGAGUAUGUGGGAGGGCCUGGGGGAACUGCUGGCUUCCGGAGGGGUGGUGGGAGGGGUCAGGGAGGUGUGUGUGUGGGAAGACCAGGAACCCUCUCCCUCUACUGUCCCCCACCCUCCAGUACCAAUUUGGAGGUGAAUCCCACAAGGGCCCCUCAGUGUCCAUCCAGCAGGCCCAGGCCCAGGCCAUCCUGCAGCAAGCACAGGUGAGGAAACUCAGGGUGGGGAAGGGGGCUGGGGGUGGC